rnacentral:rRNA from 1 species
AUUGAACGCUGGCGGCAGGCCUAACACAUGCAAGUCGAACGGCAGCACAGUACUUGCUUGUUGUUUCAGCGGCGGACGGGUGAGUGAUGCCUAGGAAUAUCCCUAUCUGUUUGUUCUUAGGGCCUAACGUAGGCGAUAAUACCCCAUAACCCCUUACGACGUACGUGGGAAAUCAUCGGAUCUUCCGCUCUUGCGCGAGUCUAUGUCCCGAUGGCGGAUUAGCUAGUUGGCGGGGUAAAGGCCCACCAAGGCGACGAUCCGUAGCUGGUCUGAGAGGAUGAUCAGUCACACUGGAACUGAGACACGGUCCAGACUCCUACGGGAGGCAGCAGUGGGGAAUAUUGGACAAUGGGCGAAAGCCUGAUCCAGCCAUGCCGCGUGUGUGAAGAAGGUCUUCGGGUUGUAAAGCACUUUUGGUUGGGAGGAAGGGCAGUAGGUUAAUACCGUGCUGUUUUGACGGUACCAACAGAAUAAGCACCGGCUAACUUCGUG